AUGGGGAGGCGGCCGGCGUGGGGCCCGCGGAGGUCUCCGAGCAUCGUCAGAGGAGAGUCGGGGGCAACGCGGGUGGGCCGGGGAGUCCCGGCGUCUCCGAGGGGGCGGGCUGGCGGAGGGAGGCUGGCCCGGGCGCUGGGACCCGGGACAGACCAGGACCCCGAGUUGACGGGCUCCACGGGCACGCAACGCCGUGGCCAGGGGGUCGGAAGCGGCUGGAGUCACGGAUCCUCGGAGCUGAGAGUCUGGCUAGCAGGGGCCAUGCAGCCCUGCAGGAGAUCCCAGGGAGAGGGGUCCGCAGACUCGGCUCUGUCCGGGGGGCUCUGGACUCCUGGACGCGCGAGCCGUUGCAUCCUUUCCAUUCAACCCAAUCCAACCAGCUGUCCUCAAGCACCCCUCCUGUACAGAGCCAUGUCCUGCUGCUGCUUUCCUGGGACUGCUGGUCAAGGUGAUCUUCCUCCAGUCCAUUGCUUUGAAUCCAAGGCCUCACGUUCACCCCAGGUGCAGACACAACACUUCAUUCACAAUCAGAGCUGGCUUCUUCCAUGCUUUUCUUCUGGCUCCAUCAGUCCUGCAUCCAAGGUCUAGCUUCUCAGAUCUGGGGUUCUUCAUGUCAGGAAAGUCCAGCCCACACCACUGCUAUAGGCCAGCCCCCCCCCCCACCACACCAUGGCCAUGGUUCUGGCCUCUGAUGCUGCCCUUGCCCUCUGGGGGGGAAAAAAAGAAGAAGAAGAGGACAUUAAGAAGAAAACACAUGCAUUCUAGCUUUCUCAAUCCCUACACAGCCCCGCAUGAAAUCCUCAAAGAAGAUCCCAUAUGUGUGAACUGGGACAGCUAGGUGGCACAGUGGAUAGAGUGUUGGGCCUGAAUUCAGGAAGAUUCAUAUUCCUGAGUUCAAAUCUGGCCUCAGACACUUACUACCUGUGUGACCCUAGGCAGUCACUCCACCCUGUUUGCUUCAGUUUCCUCAUUUGUAAAAUGGGCUGGAGAAGGAAAUGGCAAACCAUAGGAGUAUAUUUGCCAAGAAAAUCUUAAACCGGGGCAUGAAGAGUUGGACAUGACUGAACAACAGUAAUACAUGUGAACUGGAAAAGGGAGUUCACCUUGCUUAGAAGCAGCAGGAGGAAUGAAAUGAACUUGGGAUGAAAAAGGGGUAGGGUGGGGGAAUGUGAAUCUUUGGCAUUCUUGCAUUCCACCGUGGGAGACAGCACUACCGCCUUCAGUCACCACCACCCUCCUUUUACUGACCAUGAGCUUGUACUAACCCCUUCGCCACUACCACCCCAGAUGACAUAUUGAACUCUUUCUCCACAGUUAGCUAACACUUCCUAUUACCUCCACAAAUGCAGCCUUAGGUCUGCUUCCAAAGGUCUCUUCGAUCUUAGUCACCCGCAGGGAGCAAGAGGAGGGGAGAGGGGAAGCUCCUCUUUAAUAUCACCUUCCAAACUCUCUUCCCCUUUCUUCAGUCCCUCUCCUCCCUACACUGUCA
rnacentral:lncRNA from 1 species